UUAGUCAGGGAUGGUGGGGACAAUCUGGAGGGCAGCAUGAUCCCCCAGGUGGGCAGACUGCAGGGGCUGGAGGCACACUAGAAAAUGAGAGCCCAAAAGAAU